UACGUAGGGUGCAAGCGUUGUCCGGAAUUAUUGGGCGUAAAGAGCUCGUAGGCGGCCUGUCGCGUCGGCUGUGAAAACCCGGGGCUCAACCCCGGGCCUGCAGUCGAUACGGGCAGGCUAGAGUCCGGCAGGGGAGACUGGAAUUCCUGGUGUAGCGGUGAAAUGCGCAGAUAUCAGGAGGAACACCGGUGGCGAAGGCGGGUCUCUGGGCCGAUACUGACGCUGAGGAGCGAAAGCGUGGGGAGCGAACAGG
rnacentral:rRNA from 1 species